UACGGGGGGGGCUAGUGCUAUGCACCUCACUGGGCGUAAAGGGCGCGUAGGCGGAUUAUUAUGUUUUGUGUGAAAUUCUCGGGCUCAACCUGAGUAACUAUCUUUAUACUAAUAAUCUUUGAGUUCAAAACAGUAAAAUGGUAUGGGUAUUGGAGGGGUGAAAUCCGCAGAAAUACUUCAGACUACCUUUGGUGCAGACGGUUUUAUGGUUUUGGUUGAACUGACGCUGAGGCGCAAAGGCUUGGGGAGCAAACGG
rnacentral:rRNA from 1 species